UGUUCUUGAUAGAUUGCUAUUAACAAUGUAUUAAUUGUGCUUCCAUUUUCUUAUCUCGUCCCUAACCCUUAGGCAAGUUCUACCAUCUUUGACUUUUCAAUUUCUUCUCUUGUGAUCCAAAUCCAAAUUCAAUGCAUUCAUUCCAGCAACCUCCUCCCCCUACAACUACAUUGGACCACUACUACCACCUGCUCACAAGACGAAUCCCGAAAAUCAACACCACUUUCACCAGAUAUCUCACCCUCCUUCCUUCUCUACUUAACAAUUCCAAUAUCAUCACACUUCUUCCCCUCCCACUCACUAGCCCCCACCUCGUUAUCUUCCUCCCUCUAACCCUUAUCCCUACCAUCACAACCACAUUCCACAUCCUUAUCCUCGUGAAUAGAACACCCCAACAUUGCCUCCCAACCAACCCUAUCCCGCCAAAAGAACGAAGGGGAUUUUUAUAGUGCUAGAGAUGGAACUAGCAUUGGAGCUCCAAUUUUUUCAUUUAAACAAGGUAACCAACCAACAACUUUAUCAUUUAAUUAGAAGGAGGUUACUGGACAUCCUCUAAUUGUAGAUCUAUUUGCUUAGAUAAGAGAGUUCUUUCUUAAAUGAAAGAGGAUUUGGUGGAUAAACAUUCUUAUUCAUUCACCUUGGUUCCUAACUCACACACAACAUCAUCAAAAGCAAAAAAAAAUUAGAAAAAGAAGAAACAAUUACUUCUCUUUCUCAGUCAUCAAUAGUAGCAACACAAAUCACAAGUAACUCACCAUUAUCAUUGGAAAAUGCUGCCUCCAAGAGAUAAAACAAAGUGUCUCCUCCUAAAACUUACACAGAAAAUGAUGAAGUAGAUUUGUCCAAAGAAGUUUAGAGUGAUUUUUAAUGUGGAAUUUCGAUUGGAAAAAAAAUUAGAGAAUGAGAAAAGAGGGAUGAAUUUUGGUUAUGUAAAUACGUUUGGGAAAGAAACAAAUGCCUUGGAAAAAAUGGUUCUCGAUUGUUACUACAUGUGGGGAUGAGAAGGUGCAAUCCUAAUCAUUCAAAGAAAGCAUAAAGCAAUCUCAAUUUUUUCUCAUUUGUCAUGGAUGCUCUAUCCAUAUCAAUCCUUCUCCACAAAUAACCUUGCAACAUGUGGCCUACUCACCAUUUCCACCAUCUUUGUAGAAGAUCAAAGUUCUUGUGGAACAUAUCUUCAAAAGAUAAUGAUCUUACUAUCCAUCCUCUUCUAUACUACUAACAUGCCCUACUUUUCUCCCACAUCAUGAAACCAUUUUCAUUCAUAUCUCUUAAUUGCGUGAGAUAUUAUCGUAAGUCCUACAACUUGUACCCUCCAACAUGGGAUGCUACGCACAACUCCUCUUGACCAAUUAAACUUUUCAUAAUGGGCUCAUUCAUAUAUGAUUCUUACACUUGCAUUAGUCCUUG
rnacentral:lncRNA from 1 species